rfam:Bacteroides fluxus YIT 12057 genomic scaffold Scfld374, whole genome shotgun sequence.
GUCAAAAACAAAAAAAGACAAUGAAAACAAGAUUCGUAAAUACAUAUUGGUGGUGGCACCCGUUACAACUCCGGCAGUCGUAAGGGAGCAGUGCUCGUAUGUAUAUAUGUAAUAUAUUAUAAGGAAUAAGAAAGAGCCCUGUC